UAGCCAUAAUGAGCCAUGGUUCACAGAA
rnacentral:piRNA from 1 species